ACUGCAACCUCCAUCUCCCAGUUUCAAGAAAUUCUCCCCCCUCAGCCUCCCGAGUAGUUGGGAUUACAGGCGCCCGCCAUGAUGCCUAGCUAAUUUUUGUAGAGACAGGGGUUUGACCAUGUUGGCCAGGCUGGUCCCAAACUCUUGACCUCAGGUGAUCCGUCCGCAUCAGCCUCUUAAAGUGCUGGGAUUAUAAGGCAUGAGCCCCUGCGCCUAGCCCUGAAUGGCUUCUUAAAAAGAGAUGAGUUGGCAGAUGUGUCUCAAUUUGUUGGGGACGUAUGUGGCAGCACAGAGCAUCCAAGAGAAAUGUACAGCCUUUGGUUAUGGUUCAUCAUUAUUUUUGGUUUUUGGGAUGGAGUCUAACUUUUUUGCCUAGGCUGGGGUGCAGUGGCGCGAUCUUGGGUCACUGCAACCUCCACCUCCCGGGUUCAAGUGAUGCUCCUGCCUCAGCCUCCUGAGUAGCUGGGAGUACAGGCACCUGCCACCACGCCAAGCUAAUUUUUGUAUGUUUAGUAGAGACGGGGUUUCACCAUGUUGGUCGGGCUGGUCUCGAACUCCUGAUCUCAAGUGAUCCACCCACCUCGGCCUCCCAAAGUGCUGGGAUUACAGGUGUGAACCACCAUGCGCGGCCAAUUCAUCAUUUUUAAUGGGCAGUAGAGGAGAAUUAGGACCAGUGGGAUCCCCAGGCCUACCAGGUAAACUGGGUGUAGUCGGUGAACCGGGUCCAAAGGGUGAACAGGGUGCCUCUGGUGAAGAAGGUGAAGCAGGAGAAAGGGGGGAACUUGGAGAUAUAGGAUUACCUGGCCCAAAGGGAUCUGCAGGUAAUCCUGGGGAACCUGGCUUGAGAGGGCCUGAGGGAAGUCGGGGGCUUCCUGGAGUGGAAGGACCAAGAGGACCACCUGGACCCCGGGGUGUGCAGGGAGAACAGGGUGCCACCGGCCUGCCUGGUGUCCAGGGCCCUCCGGGUAGAGCACCGACAGAUCAGCACAUUAAGCAGGUUUGCAUGAGAGUCAUACAAGAACAUUUUGCUGAGAUGGCUGCCAGUCUUAAGCGUCCAGACUCAGGUGCCACUGGGCUUCCUGGAAGGCCUGGCCCUCCUGGUCCCCCCGGCCCUCCUGGAGAGAAUGGUUUCCCAGGCCAGAUGGGAAUUCGUGGCCUUCCGGGCAUUAAGGGGCCCCCUGGUGCUCUUGGUUUGAGGGGACCUAAAGGUGACUUGGGAGAAAAGGGGGAGCGUGGCCCUCCAGGAAGAGGUCCCAACGGUUUGCCUGGAGCUAUAGGUCUCCCAGGUGACCCAGGCCCUGCCAGCUAUGGCAGAAAUGGCCGAGACGGUGAGCGAGGCCCCCCAGGGGUGGCAGGAAUUCCUGGAGUGCCUGGACCCCCGGGACCUCCUGGGCUUCCCGGUUUCUGUGAGCCAGCCUCCUGCACCAUGCAGGCUGGUCAGCGAGCAUUUAACAAAGGGCCUGACCCUUGAAAGGCUUACUGCUGCAUGGCUGUCUGCAUGAACCACGCCUGGUGAAGGAGCCUGGGUGAGAAACACCAUCCAAAGCUGGGGCAAAGAUGAUUACCUUCAGCAUGAUUACAAUGUAUUACCUUCAGUAUGAUUACAGAAGUCCUACUUGACAAUCACAUAUAGAAGAACGGUGCUAUUCAGUAAGUUCUCUUUCCUUUCCCUUGGAGGGAAGACAGCAGAGUCAUCAGUUAAAAAAAAAAAAAGAAAACCAAACACCUCCCUUGAAUAAAUUUAUACUCCUGUUCCCAGGAUCUUGAGCUUUAGUGUGCUAUACCUAUGUGUCUUAUCGUGGGCCACUGUGCCAAUAAACAAAAACAACUGUUUGGUUUACCUC
rnacentral:lncRNA from 1 species